rnacentral:lncRNA from 1 species
AUGAUGAAAAAUAAUGUACGUUAAUAAACUGUAGAAUAACAGACAACACUCGAUGCAGUUGUGGGAUACAAAAAUAAUUUUAAUAGUACAAACGCUUUCGGCAAGACAGUCUCAUUGCCAUCUUCAGGUUUUCUUAAUGGACAGAAAAUCAUACCAUUUAUUACCAUACCAUAUUUUAUUCUAUGAUAUUAAAAUAAAUCUUAAGUUUUUUUUACAAAGAUUAGAAUUAUUAGUUUAUUACAUUAAUAAUGUUUUCAUCUCAACCAUCAGAUCAAUGUAAUUAUUUUGAAUACAUUCAUAGAAAUGUAGAUAAUAACCCUGAGUCAGACUGGUGAUAAUCAUAACCAUUCUUUAAAACAACCAAUGCCAUUCAAUUUACAGUAGUCGUGACCAAUGGUUAUUACUCCGGUCACAACAGAAAUGACAAGCCAAGGAGGUGAGUUACUAGUACCACAUAAUUGGAUUACUUUAUUCCAAGAAACUGCAGAAGAAACUAUUUAUCAAUGUUCUCAAUGUCCACUCCAUAGUUGAAGCUAAGUAGGUGUAUUAAAUCAUCACUGAUUACAGGAAUUAUAAAAUGAG